AUCAAACUUGCCUCCUCCUGCUCCUCCGAAUCAAUUACCGUCCUGUCCGUCGGGGCCCAGAGGAGAUCCAUCCUCUAGGUGCAUCGCCCUAGGCCCCACAGCGCUGUCAGGCCGUGGCCGCCGGGACCUUGGGUGUUGUGGGGGACCCAUCGCCUGGGGUCGAGGCCCCCUUUCUUCUGUACCACCCCAGGGCUUCCGUGACUACCAUGGCCACUGCCUGGGGGGUGGUCUCUACUCGUUUCACUACCAGCAGGUUGCGGGAGGACCACUGUGCAUCCUUCAGACCCAUUGAUUUUCCCAUGAUGUCAAGCAAAGCGGCACUGAGUUUGAAGGUGGCACAGAGAAAAUAUUCCAAGGAUCUCCAGAGCCUUCUGACCAACUACAUGUGAUCUCUCCAGAGCCUUCUGACCAACUACAUGUGAUCUCUCCAGAGCCUUCUGACCAACUACAUGUGAUCUCUCCAGAGCCUUCUGACCAACUACAUGUGAUCUCUCCAGAGCCUUCUGACCAACUACAUGUGAUCUCUCCAGAGCCUUCUGACCAACUACAUGUGAUCUCUCCAGAGCCUUCUGACCAACUACAUGUGAUCUCUCCAGAGCCUUCUGACCAACUACAUGUGAUCUCUCCAGAGCAGAGAAGUAAACAUCGCUGGUGGUGAGUGCUGGGCCAUGGAAGUUGAGAGCAGCACAUCAAAAGAACCUGCCACUCUGUUGUCAGUUAUCAGCAAAUAUCAAGGCUUUCAAAGGCCAAAUUUGGGGGAUGAUCACCAAACUCAAUAAAGUUUGGUAUAAACUAAUCAUGUUCAAGUUGUUAAAAAACAGUACAUUUUUAAUAGUCUGUUCUAAACAUUUUUACUAACUACUUUGGUAACUUAAACAUCAUACAACAUGCAGACUUUCUCCAACAAGACAGCACUUGGUGCUUAUGACUCCUAAAGGUCUAAAAUCAAUGCAAGUGCCAUGUCCAGGGUGUAUACAUUUUUAUUAAUGCACAGUACAUUCGGAAAUUAUUCAGACCCCUUGACUUUUUACACAUUUUGUUACGUUACAGCCUUAUUCUGAAAUUGACUA